rnacentral:rRNA from 1 species
GUGCCAGCAGCCGCGGUAAUACGUAGGGUGCAAGCGUUAAUCGGAAUUACUGGGCGUAAAGCGUGCGCAGGCGGUUUUGUAAGACAGGCGUGAAAUCCCCGGGCUCAACCUGGGAAUUGCGCUUGUGACUGCAAAGCUGGAGUGCGGCAGAGGGGGAUGGAAUUUCCGCGUGUAGCAGUGAAAUGCGUAGAUAUGCGGAGGAACACCGAUGGCGAAGGCAAUCCCCUGGGCCUGCACUGACGCUCAUGCACGAAAGCGUGGGGAGCAAACAGGAUUAGAUACCCUGGUAGUCC